UGGGGAAUAUUGCACAAUGGGCGAAAGCCUGAUGCAGCGACGCCGCGUGCGGGAUGACGGCCUUCGGGUUGUAAACCGCUUUCGGCAGGGAAGAAGCCGCAAGGUGACGGUACCUGCAGAAGAAGCGCCGGCUAACUACGUGCCAGCAGCCGCGGUAAUACGUAGGGCGCAAGCGUUGUCCGGAAUUAUUGGGCGUAAAGAGCUCGUAGGCGGUUCGUCGCGUCUGCUGUGAAAUCCUCAGGCUCAACCUGGGGCGUGCAGUGGGUACGGGCGGACUAGAGUGCGGUAGGGGUGACUGGAAUUCCUGGUGUAGCGGUGGAAUGCGCAGAUAUCAGGAGGAACACCGAUGGCGAAGGCAGGUCACUGGGCCGCAACUGACGCUGAGGAGCGAAAGCAUGGGGAGCGAACA
rnacentral:rRNA from 1 species